GACCGCAUAGCUCAGUUGGAAGAGCAUUGGGCUAGUAUUCCAAAGGUCGUAGGUUCGAACCCCACCGUGGCCG
rnacentral:tRNA from 1 species